UGUUCCAAGCAGCUGUCUGCUUCCAGAGUCCUACAGCCCCGAACCAGCAGAGGCUUGGAGCAGG
rnacentral:pre_miRNA from 1 species